AGCCAGAGUGAAGGAUGUGCGGCCACAUUUUUAAUGGCCUCUGCCUCCUAUGCACCUUCCGCCCCUUUGCCUGCUUUUGCCAGAGAGGGGCACGAAACUUGAACUCCUGCCCUCUCCCAGGGAACAAGGAUACCCAGGUACCUCCUGCAGCCAGCCGCUUCCAUCUGGCAGUCGAGUGAGAAAGGAAAAGGAUGCCUCUACUUCCCAGGCCAGGCUUAUCCCCUGAGGAAGAGACUACAGAAGCCCCGCGUGUGCCCGGGUGGAGGACAGCUCUUGCCACCAACGCCGAGCCCAGCAUCUCACGGUCACUCCUGCUGUGAGAGGGGAUGAGAACGGCUCCCCAGGGAUGAUGGAUGUGGGUAGGAGAGUAGGUGCAGGAGGACCACACCGCAGCAUCACCGGGAGACUGGACCAGCGAUCUGCAUCUCCUCAUCAAAGGCGGAGUCAGGAACCCACAGGUCCGACUCUGCUGGCCACUGCGGAUGUCCCAGACUGAGGGUGGGGUGGGCUGGUGGAAAGGUCCUUACCUGUCACAUCAGGCUCUUACCCAGCAUGCAACAUGCCCACCUCAGCCCUGGGGAGGGGUCGGAGGCCUAGAGGAGGUUCCUCCUGGGUUUCCUAUCUGUCUUUGCCUCGUUAUGAACUGGGCUUGGCUUCUC